GGGUUGUGAGGUUAAGCGACUAAGCGUACACGGUGGAUGCCCUGGCAGUCAGAGGCGAUGAAGGGCGUGCUAAUCUGCGAUAAGCGCCGGUAAGGUGAUAUGAACCGUUAUAACCGGCGAUACCCGAAUGGGGAAACCCAGUGUGACUCGUCACACUAUCAUUAACUGAAUCCAUAGGUUAAUGAGGCGAACCGGGGGAACUGAAACAUCUAAGUACCCCGAGGAAAAGAAAUCAACCGAGAUUCCCCCAGUAGCGGCGAGCGAACGGGGAGGAGCCCAGAGCCUGAAUCAGCAUGUGUGUUAGUGGAAGCGUCUGGAAAGGCGCGCGAUACAGGGUGACAGCCCCGUACACAAAAGCGCAUGUGCUGUGAGCUCGAUGAGUAGGGCGGGACACGUGGUAUCCUGUCUGAAUAUGGGGGGACCAUCCUCCAAGGCUAAAUACUCCUGACUGACCGAUAGUGAACCAGUACCGUGAGGGAAAGGCGAAAAGAACCCCGGCGAGGGGAGUGAAAAAGAACCUGAAACCGUGUACGUACAAGCAGUGGGAGCCCCACCACUAAGCCAGUGGUGAACUCCACAUACGCAUCCUUUGCUGAGGAUACGGUUAACGGAGCGAAAGCGACGUUCAACCGCAAAAGAAGCAGAGGGGGCUUAGUGGUGG
rnacentral:rRNA from 2 species